rnacentral:rRNA from 1 species
CUAUGGAUUGUAAACUGCUUUUAUACGAGAAGAAACACUGCUUCGUGAAGCAGCUUGACGGUAUCGUAAGAAUAAGGAUCGGCUAACUCCGUGCCAGCAGCCGCGGUAAUACGGAGGAUCCAAGCGUUAUCCGGAAUCAUUGGGUUUAAAGGGUCCGUAGGCGGUUUAAUAAGUCAGUGGUGAAAGCCCAUCGCUCAACGGUGGAACGGCCAUUGAUACUGUUAAACUUGAAUUAUUAGGAAGUAACUAGAAUAUGUAGUGUAGCGGUGAAAUGCUUAGAGAUUACAUGGAAUACCAAUUGCGAAGGCAGGUUACUACUAAUGGAUUGACGCUGAUGGACGAAAGCGUGGGUAGCGAACAGGAUUAGAUACCCUGGUAGUCCACGCCGUAAACGAUGGAUACUAGCUGUUGGAAGCAAUUUCAGUGGCUAAGCGAAA